CUUGGCACUGAAGAAUUCACAG
rnacentral:miRNA from 1 species